rnacentral:rRNA from 1 species
GGCUUUGAUCCUGGCUCAGGACGAACGCUGGCGGCGUGCCUAAUACAUGCAAGUCGAGCGGACUGAAGGGAGCUUGCUCCCGGACGUUAGCGGCGGACGGGUGAGUAACACGUAGGCAACCUGCCUUGUAGACUGGGAUAACUUCGGGAAACCGGAGCUAAUACCGGAUGUUAGAUAAUUCGCGCAUGCGUGUUAUCUUAAAGUUGGCCUCGGCUAACACUACAAGAUGGGCCUGCGGCGCAUUAGCUAGUUGGUAAGGUAGUGGCUUACCAAGGCGACGAUGCGUAGCCGACCUGAGAGGGUGAUCGGCCACACUGGGACUGAGACACGGCCCAGACUCCUACGGGAGGCAGCAGUAGGGAAUCUUCCGCAAUGGACGAAAGUCUGACGGAGCAACGCCGCGUGAGCGAUGAAGGCCUUCGGGUCGUAAAGCUCUGCUGUUAGGGAAGAACAAGUGCCGUUCGAAUAGGUCGGCACCUUGACGGUACCUUACCAGAAAGCCACGGCUAAUA